AUAGUAAAUCAGUUCUAAAAUCUAGUCGGUUCUCAGGUUUAUCUUUUCAGACUCUUGUAAUGGCUUGGACGGAUUAGAAUCCUUUUUUAUAUUUUCCAUCCAUCAGGACGCCAGCAUAUACGAUUAAGAAUGGUUUAGACUUUUACGGUUGCAUACUUUAAGUUUUGACGCGGGAUACGAAGAACGGAAAUUACCAGAACGGUUACCAAAGAUGGAAUCUAGAUCCUGUACUCUGUACUGCCU